GAUGAACGCUGGCGGCGUGCCUAAUACAUGCAAGUCGAGCGAACGGACGAGAAGCUUGCUUCUCUGAUGUUAGCGGCGGACGGGUGAGUAACACGUGGAUAACCUACCUAUAAGACUGGGAUAACUUCGGGAAACCGGAGCUAAUACCGGAUAAUAUUUUGAACCGCAUGGUUCAAAAGAGAAAGACGGUCUUGCUGUCACUUAUAGAUGGAGCCGCGCUGCAUUAGCUAGUUGGUAAGGUAACGGCUUACCAAGGCAACGAUGCAUAGCCGACCUGAGAGGGUGAUCGGCCACACUGGAACUGAGACACGGUCCAGACUCCUACGGGAGGCAGCAGUAGGGAAUCUUCCGCAAUGGGCGAAAGCCUGACGGAGCAACGCCGCGUGAGUGAUGAAGGUCUUCGGAUCGUAAAACUCUGUUAUUAGGGAAGAACAUAUGUGUAAGUAACUGUGCACAUCUUGACGGUACCUAAUCAGAAAGCCACGGCUAACUACGUG
rnacentral:rRNA from 1 species